rnacentral:rRNA from 1 species
GACGAACGCUGGCGGCGCGCUUAACACAUGCAAGUCGAACGGAAAGGCCUGCUUUCCCUUGUGGAUUGCGGGUACUCGAGUGGCGAACGGGUGAGUAACACGUGAGUGAUCUGCCCCCAACUUGGGUAUAAGCCUGGGAAACUGGGUCUAAUUCCCGAUAGGACUGCAGGGUGGUGCCUGUGGUGGAAAACGAUUUUCUAGUGGGUGGGGAUGAGCUCGCGGCCUAUCAGCUGGUUGGUGGGGUAAUGGCCUACCAAGGCGGCGACGGGUAGCCGGCCUGAGAGGGUGGACGGCCACAUUGGGACUGAGAUACGGCCCAGACUCCUACGGGAGGCAGCAGUGGGGAAUAUUGCACAAUGGGCGGAAGCCUGAUGCAGCGACGCCGCGUGGGGGAUGACGGCCUUCGGGUUGUAAACUCCUUUCGACCGCGAGGAAGCCACCUGGUUGGAAGGGUGGUGACGGUAGUGGUAGAAGAAGCACCGGCUAACUACGUG